AGAACGAACGCUGGCGGCAUGCCUAACACAUGCAAGUCGAACGCUUGCCGGGCUUCGGUUCGGCAGGAGUGGCGCACGGGUGAGUAGCGCGUGGGAACCUGCCCUGUUGUGGGGGAUAACCGAGGGAAACUUCGGCUAAUACCGCAUACGCCCGGGGCCUAGUCUUCGGAUUAGGUUUCGGGGAAAGAUUUAUCGCAGCAGGAGGGGCCCGCGUCGGAUUAGCUAGUUGGUGGGGUAACGGCCCACCAAGGCACCGAUCCGUAGCUGGUCUGAGAGGAUGAUCAGCCACACUGGGACUGAGACACGGCCCAGACUCCUACGGGAGGCAGCAGUGGGGAAUAUUGGACAAUGGGCGCAAGCCUGAUCCAGCAAUGCCGCGUGAGUGAUGAAGGCCUUAGGGUUGUAAAGCUCUUUCGCCCGCGACGAUGAUGACGGUAGCGGGAGAAGAAGCCCCGGCUAACUUCGUGCCAGCAGCCGC
rnacentral:rRNA from 1 species